GUUCUUUGGUAAAGGUUCACAGGUGUACUCUCAGUUUCUGUUUUGACAUCCAUUUGCUUGCCUUCAGCACCAGAUAUGGAAACUUCAGUCUGCAAAAACCUAGCCACAUAUUACCUCUUAAGCAAUCUAAAUGAUUUAAUAGUAGAAUAAGCCCAACAUCUUAUGUUAAAAGAGUAGAAAACCAAGAACCUAGGGCAUCUCCUUUUGUGAAAAAUUAUUGUGAUAAUAGGGCAUUAUGUCAUUACAUUUUACUCUUUCUCAACAAAUACAUAAUAGAAUUCAAUUGAAAUGUCAUAAUGACAACACACAAAACAAGCAGCAUAUGUUAUAUAUUUCAUCUGCUGAAACUUAAAACAAAAUCAAUUGUGUAAACUUCAAAACUUAUCAAAUAAUCAUAAAAAACAUCACCCUUAGGGUUUCUAAAAUACUAGAUACACUGCACGAAGACCAUCUUUUUUCACAUAUCUUGUAUAUGAAUGAAUAUAGCGGAGAUAAAUAUACUAGCUAGUUAACUUCCAAAAUCUUCAAUUGCCCGAGUGACGAUCCACGUGUAUAAAAGGUUGGUUCAAAAUGUAGCAAGGCUUAAUAAACCUCAUACAUAUUUAUUUGAUUCCAAGCACUCAACAAUUUGGAGUGCAAGACAUCACACAAGAUCAGGUAAAAACCUAUCAUUUCACUAACAAAAACAGCAGCGUUAAAGUUGUGAAACUAAUUUUAUAAUAACCCAUGAAGCCCAAAAUCAGAUAUAGAUGUUUAUCACCAAACCACACUACAAACACAUAUUAUGGCAUUCCAACUCCAUCCCAACAAUUCAAACUAAAAUAGGAAAAUUAUAAGAGAAGAAACUGACCAAAAUUUUCAUUUGCUGCAAGCCCAACAACACUUACUUGAACUUCCCAUUCUUGGUGAGUCGUCUAUCCCCAAUUAAUUCAUCCUCAAAUGCUUCAAUUGUCGAUCUUAGUAUUGAACGAAAGGUUAUAGUAAUGCGUUCGUUUUGUAUUGCGAGUCAACCCUACUACACUUAAAAAUUCAGGAGCAUCCAAAUAUUUACUCUAUUGAUUUGUUCCAUCAAUGGAUUAAGCUAAACUUGUAGUUAAUUUAUCAACUCUAAAGAAUGAUACACUGAGUUUUGUAAAAAAUGUCAAUAAGCAACAAUAUUUGCAUCACCAUGAAGAUAAAGUUGGCCUAAUCAAAUGGCUAGUCAAAUAUAUAUAUGGAUGUAUGAGAAAUGAUCCAAUUUAAAAUUUUAAAGUGAGAGAAAGUUUGAGAAAAUGCAUAAACCGUGCGGUUUAAACGCUUUAAAACUGAAGCAAUCCAUUUACAACUAAAAAAUUCUAUAGAACCAAAAACAUAAAAAAAAAACACAAUACAAAAUAAAUUAAUCCGCAUUUUGGAAAAAUUUGGAGUCAAAUUUCAAUUGCAAGAAAUUAUAUACAUAUUCUGCAAAGAGGGGUGCGGUGGUGUGUUCAUGUCACUCAAAACUUGCAUGCACUUGAGUAUACAUAUUCUGUAAAGAGGGUGCAGUAGUGCAUUCAUCUCACUCAAAAACUUGCAUGUGCUUGAGUUUGGUGGCAGAACACACUACCACACUCCAAACCAUCUGAUUUUGUCUUCACCUAUUUUUUAAGUUCACAAUGCAAGUAUGUAAGCCCAGCAACACAAAAUUGUUCAAAGAAAAGCAUGUUAGAGCAAAUCAAGAAUCCAUGUCACAACUACAGUUCUUUUAUCUCUUUUUCUACAAAAAUUAUGGGGCCAACAACUUUCUGAAUUGCCUUAUCUCACAAGGACUAAAUGACAUUCAAGAGAACCUAUAAACAACUUAUGAGAAAGUCCUUGAAAAAAUCACUGCACAAUUCCUAAACUACCAAGAUCUUGUAAUUUUUCACCCAAUAUUGCAUGGCCGCCAAUCUAGUACAUUGCAUCAUGUUCGUAGUGAAAACGGCCCAAAAAUAUAGCCAAAAAGUAGUUAACCACAUAGCAUAGAAAUAUUCGCUAUACACUUGUUCAAAGCUCAACCCCAUUAUCAAAAUCCACAAACAUAAUGUGUAUGAUGUACAACUAUGUUGUACCCAAGGGAAAAAUUAGUAUUGAAAAAUAUUCUAAAAAAUGAAUAAAACUCAACUAUUCAAUUGAAGAAAAUAAUAAUUUAUGUACCAUACUAAAUUCAAAUACAUAUCCAAGACCAAAAGGUACCAAGACAGCAAAUAAACAAAAGGUGAACCUCCAGUUUUUGAAGCAAGUCCUCAGUUUUUCACAUUGUUGUCCCCCUGCAUUGUCAUCUCCGUCUCCUCAUUGACCUGCUAACUUGUCACCCUCCGCCACAACUUCUCCAUUGCAAUUUUUGCAGUCAAAAGAAUCACCUUCUUGAGAAACCAACCUCAAUUUUUCUAGAUUACGCCUACAAGAAUUCCUCAAUCUUUUAGGAAUAAAAAACUUAUUUACAUGUAAGAACAUAUAAAGUAACUUAAAAUAAAAUAAGAAAAAGAGUAAAAAGUACAUUUGCGCACAAUUAGUGCAAAUGUACUAAUGACCUAUAUUUUUGUUUUCCAGUUCAUCCUUUAGACUUUUCUUCAUAUGGUGUAUUAUGUACCUAACAACAUCAUAGAUCUGCAGAAUAUUCCACACUGGGUCUUUAGCUAGUUCAAAAGAAAGAUUGAUCAAUAUAAGAUAAGAUAAAAUGAACAAUAAAGGCCGAACAGGAAAGUAAAUGGUUCUUUUGACUUCAUGGUCUAAAUAAACCAAUAACAUCCAAUAUCAUGUUUUGUUAUGAAAAGAUAACCUAUGCAUAUUCUAGACAAUAGAAAAUGUCAGUGUCUCUCUUGCAUUCCUGAGUAACUAGUUUUUCUUCCUCAAAAAAUGGUAAAGUGCAACAUAGUUGCUUUCAUGGCAGUUUCAAUUCCCUUGCUAAAUCUUCUUCGCUAAUUCAUUGUUAUUUAAAUGGAAAACAAAACAUUAGCAAAUAAUAAUAGUUUUAGGGCUUGCCCUAAAACUGAAUGUUAGCUUAUAAAAUAAUGGAAAUAAACAUUCACAUUAUUGUUCAUAAGUCAAAUAUUUAACAAGAAUAUUCUUUAACUAACCAAUAUAAGAUAUUAUAUUAAUUCACAUGAUUUACACUUGAUCGCAAGGCUAAAUGAUAGACAAGCUCAAGACCAAGCUUAACUCUCCAAUGAACAUUAUCAAAUAUUAAAAAAGACACAUAGUUGCAUUAUAAAAAUGAGCUAGCAUGAGGUAAAGAACACGACAAUAGUAGAAGAAGUAAAGCAGUUUUCAUGCCUAAGCAAAGUAGCCAAGCCAUGAGAGGCCAGAGCCAAGAGUCAAGAAAGUUUUUAGCAUCAAGUUCCAAGUAGUAAUCCAACUUUAAUUAGCAAUUUAUUUCGCCAAUUUCUCAAAGAAGCUUUUUUAACAGCAACACAAAGACAUUGAUUAAGCGAUUGAGAUUAUGUUCUUCAAGCAACAUACUUGUAGAUAAGCAUAACAAGCAUAUUGUCAUUGGAUAAGUGUAAUGCGCAGCAAUCCCGUGCAAUAUUUAAACGACUUCUAGCACGCAAGUCGCUAAGUAAACCUAAUGAUCUUUUCAAAUUAGCCAAGCAAGGAUGCUUACAACAAUGCUAGAGAGAAGAGAGCAAUAUAGCCAAAUAUAAUUUUAUUAUUCACAAAUGAGAAAAUUACAAGAGAGUUUUUUACAAGAGCCAGAGAGCUUGUGUGUAUUAUGUGUGUGCUGGUGUUGUGCGUGUGUGGUCUGAUGUUGAGCAAAAAUGGCAAAUGCCAUAGGAUAUUUAUAGGCUUGGAUGCCAAGCUCUUGAAACUUCCUAGCAACUUGCAUAAAUAUCUCCUAAGACUUGAAUGCACAAUUUUAGAAAACUCUAGGUUAUUUAAAAUUGUAAAAAAGUCUAGAAUUCGGGCCGGGCUUGGUUGAUCACUAAGCGCACCACGGUUGGCUAGUUGUGUUGGGCGACCCAUUGCUAAGCGCAUCCCACUUCUAAGUACAUCCCACCUUUUUUGCUGAGUGCACUCCACUUCUAGGUGGACUUUUACAAAGCGUAACUGCAUACGCAAAGUUAAUAUUUGUUUGCAAGAGAUUUAAGCGGCCUGUGACAAUCCUCCCCCACCUAUGCUCGCAGCAUCCUCGUCAUGUUCUCGUGCUUUGUAGUUUUACAUGUGUUCCGCGAAUUGCCAUAGGUCUUCUUUGCGUUCCCACGUUGCUUCGCUCUCAGAGAGGUUUUUCCACUUGUGACGCAUGCAGUCAUUUGCUUCCUUUGCAUGGUGUAGUGGCAUUUCAAGUUGUUGAGCUUCAAACUCUCGAAAGCUAUAAGAUGGCCUUUUUGGAUGAGGACUCCACCAAUGGCGAAGUCGGAAGCAUUUGUUUGGACUUCGAAUGGCUUUGUGUGGUCUAGAAGAAUGAGGACCAGUUCCUCGAAGAUAGUCUUCUUCAAGUUUUCGAAUGCACGUUGGCACUCUUCGGACCAAUGCCAUGUUCAGUUCUUCUUGAGUAGAUCGAUCAAGGGUGCCGCCUUGGCCGAGUAUUCCUUGAUCAAGCAGGCAGUAAUAAUUUACCAAUCUGAGAAAAGACCGAAGUUCGAGUACUUUGGUGGGAGGCUCCCACUUGAUAAUGACCUUCACCUUCGAGUUCUUCAUCAUUAACUUCUUGUCUGCUAUCUUGUGACUAAGAAACUUUACCUCUCGUUGAGUAAACGAAGAUUUAUCCAACUUAUGGUAAAGUUCGUUUUGCAUAGUGCUUGGAGAAUCUACCGCAAGUGUUGCACAUGUUUCUCCUUUGGCGAUGCGCACUUGAUAGUACCCGGAUUGCAAGUUAAGCUUGAUAAAGUACCUGCUUUGCCAAGUUGAUCGAAGAGAUCCGCUAUCGAAGGGAUUAGAUACUUGUUCUUGAUCGUGAUUUUGUUGAGCGUGCUGUCACGGGCCGCUCAAAUUUUCCACCAACAGAGGCUAAUUCGACGCGCACGGGUACAUUUAGUAAAUGUCCAACUAGAAGCGUAGUGCGCUCAGCAAUAAAGGCAGGAUACGCUCAGCAAUAAAGGCACAAUGCACUUAGCAAUGGACCGCCUAACACAAGUAGCCAACCGUGGUGCGCUUAACGAUCAUCCAAGCCCGGCCCGAAUUUUAGAUUUCUCUACAAUUGUAAAUAACCUAAAAUUUUUUACUUUUGUGGAUUUAAGUCUGUAAAGAUAUUUAUGCAAGUUGCUAGGAGGAUUCAUGUGCUAGCACCCAACACCUAUAAAUAGGGGCAAGCCUUCCUCAUUUACUCACCACCACACCACACACACACAAGCUCUCAAGCGCUCUUGUAAAUUUUCUUUAGUGUGUAAUAAAAUUAUAUUUAGCCAUAUUGCUCUAGCUUCUCUCUAGCAUUGUCUCAAUCAUCUUCACUUGGCUAAUUUGAGAAGUAUUCUAUACUUACUUAGCAACUUGUGUGCUAGAAAUCGUCUAAGUGCCUCAUAGGUUUGCUGUGCAAAACACUUAUCCCAUGACAAGUAGUAUGAGAGUUAAAGUUUGCACCCACGCAAGUUAGUUCAACGAGUAAUGACUAACCCUCCUAGCACAACGCAAGAGGGCGUAGUCAUAGUAGAAUUAGUUGAGCCAACUCGUGGCCUCAAGGAAGGACGCACACAUGCUAGGUCCCACGGAAAGUCCAAGGCUGCUUCCGUGGAUGCCUUCAAGCCUCAUGUCGCCAAGCUCGAAACUUCGAUGUCUGCUGUCUAGGACGCUGAUUAACACUUAAAAGUGUACAUGUAAUAAUGAUAAAAUUAUUAAUUUUUCACUUAAAGUGUUGAUUAAUGUACUCAUAACUUAUAAAUUAUAUGAAUGCUCCCCUAAUAGUUUUUUAUGUCAAAUUAAUCUGCAAUAUAUUAAUUUUUAUCUUAUAAAUAUUUUUCAGGAAUAAAGAUGGAAUUGGAAUUGAAAAUGAGAACAGAGAAGAACUGAUGGAGUAAUUUGGAAUGCAUCAUUGAGGAGAUGUAAUUAAUAAAUAUUUUUAAAAAAUAAAAAAAUAAUAAUAAAAAAGAAAAGAAAAGAUGAGUAACCAUGCUCGUGAUGGUCAAGUGGUCAUCUUACCACCUGACCAUCACACCUCACAAUGUAUAUACAUAUAUUAUAAAAUAAAAUAAUUAAAAAAAAAGAGGAUGCAUCCCUUGCCUAUAAAAGGCAAGGGGAUGCAAGCAAAGGAAGGUAGAGCGAAGCCGAGGAAAUUUUUCUUUCUUUUCUUGUUUUAUGGUGUAAUCAAUUUUAUUAUAAUAUAUUUCAAAAGUUUGUCAAAUAAAAAUAGUAUUUUGUUUUCUUUUAAUAUGAAUCACUAAUUUUACUAAGUUGAGGUGAAGGGUGAAACUCAAGGUUUUAAAUUAUAAAAUUAAUUAUUUUCUCAAGUGAAUUUUGAAUUUAUUUUAUUCUUUUCUAAUUAUUGUUAUAUCAUGUUAAUUUAUAGAUUUUUCUUGAAUUUAUAUAGUAUUUUGACAUAAUGUCGACACAUUAAUAUAGCUGUGACACAUUAGGCACUUGAUUACAUAUUUAUCUACACACAUAAUUAGUUAAAAAUUAAAUGAUAUAAUAAUUAACUAGUAAAAGUGAGGAAAAAUAUAAAAAUGAGAGUAUUUAAACUAUAAUUUAAAUACCAAGAGCGGAUCCUGAACCUUAACAUAUUUUUAAAUUGAUUUCUAGUGAUUUCUUUUCCUGCAAUUAAUUUUCUUUAUUUAACAAAUUGACUACUACUUUUUAAAUUCCUUGUGGUUCGAUCCCAAACUCACCGGGUUAUAUUUUAACUAGACACUAUUAUACUUAGGAGUAAUAAUAAUUUUGAGUCGUGUCAGACACCCUCAACAUUUUAGAGGUAAGGGUCGACGGUCUUAAGGGCGAGUAUGGUGAGUUUAUGGUAGCCACCAAGGCCCUCAUACAAGACCAAGCCGACUCCUUCCGAAGGGAGUCUUGAGCCUUUCAUGAUGAGUUGCUGAAAUUGCAUAGCUUCAUGCAAAGCGAGAUAUGAGCGAUCCGUGCGGAGGUCGACGAAGUCCACUUGGAUUAGGCUUGGCACAAGUUCACUCUCUGCUAGCUCGACUUCUGCUAGUUUGAGUGACUUGUCAAAGCCACUCGCGCCUUAUCGACUUGUCAAAGCGAGACACUUACGAUGGUGCACACAGUGCCAUCGUUGUGGACAACUUCUUCUUUGGACUAGAGCAAUACUUCGAUGUCAUGAGUGUUCGUGAUGAGGAAUCAAAGGUAAGCCUACAUUCUUACGAGGCGCCGCACAACUAUAGUGCGGCAAAGCAUAGGGAGAUAGGCAAUGGCAUAUGUACCAUCAACACAUGGGCUAAGUUCCAACAAGAACUCCGCAAGCAAUUUGCCCCAAGCACGCGGAGAAGGAAUAACGUCCGCAAUUACAUCAACGACUUCACUACCUUUGUGCUCGAGAUCUCCAACAUGUUCGAUAAGGACUCUCUUUUCUACUUCCAAGAUGGCCUCAAGGAUUGAGCCAGGGUGGAACUAAAUAGACUUGGCGUCCAAACUCUCGAUGAUGCCAUUACCAUUGCGGAAUCACUCGCCGAUUACUUCGCCCAAUGCAAGGACAAAGAGGCCUAGCUAUGGAAAAGGUGGGGGAGAGGGUUGGAAGGACAAAGGCCACAACCAGAAGGAUUGGGGGUAGAAAAAGCCUCCAAGCAGUAAGAGCGGGCAAAGCAAAUAAGAGAAACAGCAGCCUAAAAGCCCAUGCUUCAUAUGUAAUGGCCCUCAUUCAGAACGCGAUUGUUUAAAGAAGAAGUCGUUUAAUGCUCUAGCAGCCCAACUCAAGGAUCACUCCAUACCGUCGACAGAGGAACCCCAACACAACAUGUGUACCCUCCAACGCCUCGGCGUACUCAAGAGCCACCUGCCUACACCCACGAAAAAAAGGCUCAUGUAUGUGAGUGCAUCCAUCAACGGCCAUGCCAUACGUGUGUUGCUAAACACCGGAGCCACACACAACUUUAUUUCCAAAUAUGAGGCCAAGCACCAAAGCCUUAAGGUGACGAAAGAAGAGGGCAUCACGAAGCAGUAAACUCACCUACCAAGCUCAUCACAAGCACCGCACAAGGAGUGCGUGUAACACUCGAGACAUGAAGUGGAAAGUUUUAUUUUUCUAUAGUGCUUAUGAAGCACCAUGAAGGCAGUAAACUCACCUGCCAAGCCCAUCACGAGCACCGCACAAGGAAUGUGUGUAACACUCGGGAUAUGAAAUGGAAAGCUCGACUUCUCCAUCGUGCCUAUGAGGCACCAUGAAGGCAGUAAACUGACCUGGCAAGCCCAUCACGAGCACCGCACAAGGAGUACAUGUAACAAUCGGGACAUGAAGUGGAAAGCUCGACUUCUCCAUCUUGAAGUGGACGACUUAAAGAUGGUCAUUGGCAUGGAGUUUUUCAACCAAGUCCAUGCCUUCCUACUAUCGACCAUGAACUCUUUAAGCAUCAUCGACGAGAGUAUGGCAUCCAUGGUUCCUGCCGAGCACUCCAAGACAGCAGACAAGACGCUAUCAGCCAUGCAAUUUAAGAAAGCUUUCUAGAAAGACCCAAGCUUCUUGGUCUCUAUUCGGGAGUUGAAUAAUAGAGAAGAUCGCGGAGACUCACCGAGCCAAGUACCUCUUCUCAUCCAAGGAGUCAUCGACGAGUUCAAAGAUGUCAUGCUUUCAGAGCUACCGAAGAAGCUCCCACCUAGACAAGAGAUGGACCGCGAGAUUAAGUUAUAGCAAGGCGCAAAACCACCAACCUUGGCGCCCUACCGCAUGGCGCCACCCGAACUUGAGGAGUUGAUGAGACAACUCAAAAACUUGCUGGAUGCAGGCUGCAUCCAUCGAUCGACGACUUUAUUCAAUGCACCCAUGAUCUUUCAAAAGAAGAAAGACAGAUCGUUGCGAAUGUACAUCAACUAUCGCGCACUUAAUAAAAUUACAAUCAAGAAAAAAUAUUUAAUUCCCUUGAGGGCAGAUUUGUUCGACCAACUUGGCAAAGCUUGAUACUUCACCAAGCUUGACUUGCGGUUUGAGUACUAGCAAGUACGCAUCGCUAAAGAAGAUGAGCCAAAGACGGUAUGUAUGACCAUGUGCGAAUCUUUUGAAUUCCUUGUUAUGUCGUUUCGUCUCACCAAUACACCUGCCGCCUUUUGUACUCUUAUAAAUAAGUUCCUCCAGUCAUUCCUCGACGCUUCGUCGUUGUAUACUUGAACAACAUCGUGGUGUAUAGCACCAUGCUCUAGGAACAUGCGCAAUACUUGCAGCAAGUUCUCCAAGUACUACGCGAGAACAAGCUCUACCUCAAGAUGGAAAAAUACUUGUUUGCUCAACGAGAGGUAGAGUUCCUCAGGCAUAAAAUAUCGGACGAAAGAAAAACUAAUAAAGGAGAACUCUAAGGUGAAGGCCAUCAUCAAGUAAGAACCUCCCAACAAAGUACCCGAACUCUGAUCAUUCCUCCGACUGGUGAAUUACUACUGCUGCUUCAUCAAUGGCUAUUCGGCUAAAGUGGCACCCUUGACUGACUUUACUCAAGAAGAACCGGACAAGGCAAUGGUCCAAAGAAUGUCAACGUGCAUUCGAAGAGUUGAAGAAAAAAUUUUUUAUGGAACUCAUCAUCGUUCUUUCGGACCACACAAAGCCUUUCGAAGUACAAACAGAUGUCUCCGACUUUGCCAUUGGUGGAGUCCUCAUGCAAAAAGGCCACCCAAUAGCUUUUGAGAGUUGGAAGCUCAAUGACACGAGAUGACGCUACACCGUGCAAGAAAGGUAAACGACUGCAUGCAUCACAAGUGGAGGAACCUUCUCGAGAGUCCAGCUAUGUGGGAACACGAAGAUGACCUAUGGCAAUUCGCAGAACAUGUCCAAAACUACAAGCACUAGAACGCGACGAGUACGCCGCGUGCAUAAGUAGGGGAGGAUUGUCACAAGCCGCUCAAAUUUGCCACCAACGAAGACUAAUUCCGCGCGCACGAGUACGCUUAGUAAAAGUCCGAAUAGAAGCAGAGUGCGCUUAGCAGCUAGGGUGCACUCAGCAUUAAAGGCAUGAUGCACUUAAAAGUGUGAUGCGCUUAGUAAUGGACCACCUAACACAAGUAGCCAACCAUGGUGCACCUAGCAAUCAUCCAAGCCUAAUCAAAAUUCUAAAUUUCUCUACAAUUAUAAAUAACCUAGAAUUUUCUAGUCUUGUGCAUUUAAGUCCCUAUAAAUAUUUAUGCAAGUUGCUAAAAAGAUUCACAUGCUAGCACUCAACACCUAUAAAUAAAGGCGAGCCCUCCUCAUUUGCUCACCACCACACCACACAUACAACCACCAGUACACACACAAGCUCUCAAGCGCUUUUAUAAAAGCUCUCUUGUAAAUUCUUUUUUGCGUGUAACAAAAUUAUAUUUGACUAUAUUGCUCAUGCUUAUGUUUAGCAUUGUCGCAAGCAUAUUCACUUAGCUAGUUUGAGAAGUAUUUUAGGCUUACUUAGUGACUUGUGUGUUAGAAGUUGUCUAAGUGCCGCACAAAUUUGCUGCGCAAAACACUCAUCCCGUGACAGCACAAUGUUGAUGCACAUCUGUAAAGAGCCAUCUUUCUUCUUUUAGAAGAGCACGUGUACACCAAUUAGAGCCUUGAAUGGGCGGAUGUAGCCCACAUCCAACAAGUUUUUGAAUUGUCUUUGCAACUCCUCAAGCUCGAGUGAUGCCAUGCGAUAAGACACCAAGGUUGGUGGCUUUGCGUCUUGUUCUAACUCUAUCUCGUGAUCUACCUCAUGUCUAGAUGGGAGCUUCUUCGAUAGCUCCGGAGACAUGACAUCCUUGAACUCUUCGAGGACUUCUUGAAUGAGCAAAGGGACUUGGCUCGACGAGUCUCUGCGAUUUUCCCUAUCAUUCAAUUCCUAGAUGGAGACCAAGAAUCUUGGGUCCUUCCAAAAAGCUUUCUUGAAUUGCAUGGCCAAGAGCGUCUUGUAUGCAAUCUUGGAGCGCUUGGUGGGAACCAUGAAUGGCAUACUCCCGUUGAUGAUGCUUAGAGAGUUUGUGGCCGGUAGCAGAAAAGCAUGGAUUUAGUUGAAAAAUUUCAUACCAAGGACCAUCUUGAAGUCAUCCAUGGACAUGAUGGAGAAAUCAAGUUUUUCGCUCUAUGUCCCAAGUGUUACACGCACGCCUUGUGCGGCGCCCGCAAUGGGCUUGGCAUGUGAGUUCACUGCCUUUAUUGUGCCUCCUUCCUUCGUCACCUUGAGGCCCUCCUUUCUGAAAUGAAGUUGUACGUCGUUCCGGUGUCUAGCAAUGCAUACAUGACAUGGCUGUUGAUGGACGCACUCACAUACGUAAACCCUUGUUUUGUAGGUGUAGCGAAGUGCACCGAGGCAUUAGAGAGUACCCAUUGUCACGAGUCGCCUAAAUUUGCCACCAACAGAGAGGCUGAUUCCGUGUGCACGGAUACGUUUAGUAAAAGUUCGCCUAACAACGGGAUGCGCUUAGAAGUGAGAAGUGCUUAGCAAUGGACCACCUAACACAACUGGCUAAUCGUGGUGCACUUAACAAUCAAACAAGCCCAACCCGAAUUCUAAACUUUUUACAAUUAUAAAUAUUCUAGAGUUUUCUAGAAUUGUGCAUUCAUGUCCAAAAGAGAUUUAAAAAAGUUGUUACGAAAUUUCAAGAGUUUGACGUCCAAACCUAUAAAUGCCCCAUAGUACUUGCCAUUUGCUCACCACCACACCACACACACACAAGUCACACAAGCUCUAAAGUUUUUGUAAAAAGCUCUUUUGUAAUUUACUAGUGAGUAAUAAAAUUAUAUUUGAUCAUAUUGCUAUCGCUUUUCUCUAGCAUUGUUGCAAGCAUCCUUACUUGACUAGUUUGAGAAGUAUUCUAGGCUUACAAAUGGACUUGUAUAAUAGAAGUUGUCUAAGUGCUGCACAAGUUUACUGCGCAUUACACUCAUCUGGUGAUACCAUGCUGUAUUGGGGUUCCUCUGUUGACGGUGUGGAGUGACCCUUGAGUUGAGCAACGACGACAUUGAGCGACUUCUUCUCCGGACAAUCGUGUACCCAAUAAGGGCCAUUACAUAUAAAGCAUGGGCUUCAACGCUUAAGCAGCUACUGUUUCUUCGAUUUACUUUACUUGUACGACGCCUCGAAGGAACGUAGGCGUGCCUACUUUUGAUGUCUUAUCACGAACACUCAUGGUAUUGAAGUAUUACUCUAGCCCAAAUAAGAAGUUAUCCACGACAGUGGUGUUAAGUGUACCAUCGUAGCUGUCGGGCUUUGGCACGUCUUGUCGAAGUCGGGCUAGCAGAGUGUGCAAACUUGUGUCAAGCCUAAUCCGAGCAGAUUUCGUCAACCUCGGUACAGAUCGCUCGUAGCUCACUUUGUACGAAGCUACGCAAGUUCAACAACUCUUCAUGUAGUGCUCGAAACUCCCCUCGGAGAGAGUCGACUUGGUCUUGCAUGAGCAUCUUAGUGGUUACCGUGAACUCAUCAUACUCACCCUCGAAAUCGUCGACCCUCACCUUCAAAGUGUGGAAGGUGUCUUGGACAACGGAUAUUGAAGUUUUGAACGUGGCGAUACGAGACUACAAGGUGUCUACGGAAGCGGCCUUGGACUGGCCACGGGACUGAGCAUGUGUGCAUCCCUCCUCGCAGUCACGAGUUGGCUCAAGUGGCUCCACACGACUAGGCCCUCUUGUAAUGUGCUAGGAUGGUUGGUCAUUGCUCAUAAGCUAAUUUGCGUGAGUGCAAAUAUGGCUCUAAUACCACUUGUCACGAGAUGAGUAUAAUGCGCAACAAACCCUUGCUUAAACAACUUCUAACACGCAAGUCGCUAAAUAAACCUAAUGAUCUUCUCAAACUAACCAAGUACUGAUAUUUGCGACAAUGUUAGAGAGAAAAGAGAGCAAUAUGGCCAAAUAUAAUUUUAUUACUCACGAAUGAGAAAAUUACAAGAGAUCUUUUUAUAAGAGUUAGAGAAUUUGUGUUGUAUGUGCGGGUGGUUGUGUAUGGUGUGGUGUUGAGAAAAAAUGGCAAGUGUCAUAGGGUAUUUAUAGGCUUAAAUGUCAAGCUCUUGAAAUAUAAUUUUAUUACUCACGAAUGAGAAAAUUACAAGAGAUCUUUUUAUAAGAGUUAGAGAAUUUUUGUGUUGUAUGUGCUGGUGGUUAUGUGUAUGGUGUGGUGUUGAGCAAAAAUGGCAAGUGUCAUAGGGUAUUUAUAGGCUUAAAUGUCAAGCUCUUGAAACUUCCUGACAACUUACAUAAAUAUCUCCUAGAACUUGAAUGGACAAUUCUAGAAAACUCUAGGUUAUUUACAAUUGUAGAAAAGUGUAGAAUUCGAGCCGGACUUAAUUGAUCGCUAAGUGCAUCACAGUUGGCUAGUUGUUUUAGGCGGCUCAUUGCUAAGUGCAUUAUACUUCUAAGCGCAUCCCGCCUUUAGUGUUGAGUGCAUCCCGCUUUUAAUUGCACUCCACUUCUAAGCAGACUUUUACUAAGUGCAACUGUACGAGCAAAAUUAACCUCCGUUUGCGGGAUGAACGGCCCGUGACAAUGUCCGUGACAAUGUGCUCAUUUGGAAAGAUGAGAAAGAGAAAGCCUUCAACAGACACAUUAUCAAAAAAGCAGAAGAAUCUUGAUAAAAUUAAAAAGCAGAAGUGCUACAAAGGUAGAAGACCAAUACAAUUCCAAAUCCUACAGUAUCAGUUUAAAUGGACAAAGUCAGUCCCUUAUUGCAAUAGGAAAUGGAAUUGACAAAUAAUUUUCAAAGAAGGAUGCAUAAAUAACUUGAAGAAUACAAUGGCACAAAGGUGAUGCUCCCCUCAAUGAAAAAUCCAUCAAUAUUUAUUAGAAGAAAACUAUUAAAAGAUUGAAUAUAAUUGUUUGCAGGCGCAGAUUUGAUCGACUCAGUAACAAAAUUUAUUCUUUAUCAAUCUGGACCUAACAUGUUUGAUGAAAAGCCUGAAAGAACUCCUGAGAUCAAAGUUAAGCAGAGUCUCCAACAAAUUCACAAGACCAGAGUUAAUUGCUUGAAAUUGUUAGUCAAAGUUAAAAUCCCUACUUCAAUCAAAAGUAACCAAAUCAAACACAACUUGUAGAAGCGAAAAACAUAGUUUUAAUUCCAAAAUUGAAUAUAAUAAAAUAAUUUAUAGUACAGUACCUCGUGAGCGCAUCAAGCACCACAAUAGCUAUCCCUCUCUUGUCACUCAGUAACAAAAUUUUAUUGAGUUCUGAGUCACUCCGCGUCUAUUAAGUUCCGUCGUCGCCGUGCCGGCAGCUUCACAAUCUCUGCGAGGUAGACAUCUGCUGUUAGGAAGCUAUAUGGUGGUUCUGUUUCUAAGGUUCACUGAAAAUUGGGGUUCUAGGGUUCAGAGAUUACUCUGUGUGAUGCAACCAAAUUUCAGAUUAUCUUUUAAUACCAUCAGAUAUUUUGGCGGCAAAAUCUAUUCGACCAUUUUGCUUACUGGCCUGCAAAUCUCAGGAGGCGCAAAAACUUGGACCAAUUCCAGUCCGCUUCAGCUAGUUACAUGGUUCUGCAGAAAUUUUACAGUAACAUUUGAUAUUGUAAAAUCACUGACUAAUAAUAUUUUAACAUAUGACAAUAACUUUUAAAACUUAAAAAUUAAUUUAUUAAAAGUCAAAUAAGUUUUUUCUUUGCUUUUCUCUCUCUUUUCCCUAUUUGAAAAAUUCAUUUUCCCUCUUGCAAGUUUCAAAAAUAGAAAGCUAAAACGUUAAUAUAUUAAAAGUCAUAAAAAUAAUUAAUUGGGUAAAGCGAGAUUUUUUGACUGCUUCUUAUCUUCCCUGCAAACUCCUCCAUUUUUCUCUCUCCAGCCAUCGUGAGCUUGUCAUCAUCUUCUUCGUCGUUCCAACCAUCUCAUCAGAUUCAGCACCUUUCUAUUAGCAUCAUUGAAAUUUAUUGGUUCUCAUCGCCCUUUUAGUGACCUACCUCAAUUUGUUUUGCCAUUCAUUAGGUAAUUGUUAACUUUUAUUUUGUUUUCUAUUAAUGCAAAAUUAAUUCUACUAUGCCAUGGUUCUCUAAUCUUUUCAUUCAAAUUAAUUAUAGUAUUCAUAAUAAUAUCAGGUUGAUCAUACAAAUGGAUCAUUCUAGUGAUAAAGAAGAAGAAGAACUAGCUCCGAAUAUUUAGGACAAGAUCAAGAUAAAAUUAGGGCACUUUGUUGUAGGGGUAGGCAAAAAAACCGUAGUCUUAAAAAAACCGAACCGAACCGAACCGACGGUUUUUUCUAAUUCGGUUUGGUUUUUAUUUUUUUAAAAAACCGAAUAUACCGUUUGUAAAAAAAAUUGAAAUGUCGGUUCGGUAUUCGGUUCACUUAGCUAAACCGAAAAACCGAACUGAAAAAC
rnacentral:lncRNA from 1 species